UACUCUGUUUAGAUUCCAUGAAUUCUGUUAAAAUCUCAAUUGUGUCCGUUAUCGUUACGCUCAUAAAACUCAUAAUGAGUGCAUCAAUAUUUACCUGAAAUUAGCACUGUAAGUGUCUCUCAAAUAACCGUCCGUCUUGUGCAGCAGAGAUUGUGAGAUGAAUUGCUGUUGUUCUGCGUUUCCAGAUUAAUCCAUUGCAUGAAAACACACCCUCUCACGCAGCGUCGUGGUCAAUUUCAAUGUGAAGUGUUAACAAAAGCCUUGGUGUCAAGAGGCUAUUAAGUCUGAUGAGCGCUUUCAGGAUCUGUGGCCUUUUGUCCCACGGCCUCCCCACCUACUCCUGGCCUCCACGUACCAACACAGCCACACCUCUUCCCUGGCCUUGGUCUAUGCGUGGCCCUCCACUGUGCACUCUUCAGGGGGGCUGCCAGACUACUUGGUGCCAAUGCAGCUGUUUUGCAAAGAGAGAAAUAGUAGAAAUGCACACAGAGCCACAGCUACAGUCCCAACCACAGCACCUAUCAAGCCCACAAGGUGAGAGCCAUCUUGACCUGAGCAGCACAGACACAGGAAGAAAAUUUUU